AAAAAUAUAGAGUCUUCAAGUUGAAAGUUGUUCUUCAUCUUUCUUUUCUUUUCCUCUCUAAAAUUCUCUUUCCUGUGAGCUCUCAUUCUUGUGAGCUCUGGUUUGAAUGCGACUGCACAUAGCAGCCCGAUCAGUUCCACUUGGAUUAGCUAGUGAUUUGCUCAAGAAAACGAGAAAAUUUGUUGCUCAAGAAAAAUAUCUUGCUCUAGGUCAGAAAGCUUGUUGCUCAAGUCUUCUUUGCUUAUGGCUCAAGCGAUGGUUUCUUGUUGCUCAAGAAAGCUUUCUUGUUGAGCAUGGUUGACACUUCAUAUAAGGAGAGUGGUUCUUGCUCAAGGAUGAGAUUGUAAAGAGAAAUUUCAAAAAGAGUUUUUGAGCAAUGAGAGAUUUCAAAGAGAAUAGAUCGUUCCACUUGAUUCUCUCCUUUCUUCUUCUUUCUCUUUGUUGUGCAUUCCUUCACUUGGCAGACACCCCUAAUAGGGUUCAAGUACAUGUUAAGUUCGUCACAAGUCACAACAACAUGUGUUAGAUUGUGAUCGUGGUUUCACUAUUAUAUCUUGGAAAAUAGACAUCCAAUGUGACCUCAUAAUACUAUUGGAGAGGAUGAAUUUAUUUUAAAGAAACUAUAUCACUGCAGGCCUUAAGUCAGAGUAGGAUUUGUGAGUUGCUCGAGGAAUAAAGACGUUAAGUCAUGUAGCGAUGUAAUUUUCUUAAAACAGAUUUGUCCUCCCCGAUAGUGUUAUGAGAUUAUGCUGAACGUUUGUUUCCCAAAAUAAAAUAGUAAAACAACAUUUCAACACCCAGGACAUGUUAUCAUGACGAAUUGAACAUGUAACUGAAUACCAUCAAAGGUGUGAGCAAUGAUCGCAUGAAACAGAGAAAGAAGAAGAAACUAGAAAAUAAAGGUAGAAGAUCUCUUUUCUUUGAAAUCUCUCCUUCUCAAGAACAACUCAAAUUUCUCCUUACAAUCUCUAUUGGCUCAAGAACCACUCCCCUCGUUAGAUGGAGUGCUAAUCUUGCUCAACAAGAAUUUUUCUUGAACAACCAGAAACCUUAAACAAUAAGCAAAGACUUGAGCAACAGGCUUGUAUCUUACAUGAGAUGUACUUUGGGCUCUAUGGCCCCUGUAAAUGCCAUAUACCAAAUACCUGAGCUUCUUAAAUCUGAACUGUUUGUACAAGUCUGUUUUCUUUGGUCGUUUUUUCUACUAUUUGAAGGUUGUGAACUUGUUUUUUUUUUUUUGCUAUUUGAACAUUAUCAAUGGUGAUUUGAACUAGUUUUUUGCCUUCUGUUUUAUUUGUUUAGAUACAAUUAGAUAAUAAUAGUAAAAAAAAUAUCUUUUGUUUUUAUAGCCAAGUUGUUUUUUCAUUAAUUAUGCUUAUGUUUUUCUAAAAUACUUUAUCUCUGUCUGUCCCUUCAAAUUUUAAUUAAAGUUUAGUUGGCAAUAAAAAAUUAGAUGAUAUAUAUAUGAUUUUAAAAUCUUUAUAAUAUAUUUUGAUACGAAAUGGAAAUGUUAGAAAAUGAUUAUACAAAAUUAUUUCUAAAUGUCCGUAAACAAAAAAUAGAGCUCUCUUAUACAUAAAAAAUCAUGGUUAAUUGGAAAAGUCACAAUAUUUAAAGGAAAAUUAUAUGGUGUUUAUUAUCUUAAACCGUUUUAAUUAUUUCAAAAGAUAAUUACUGAAAAUUUUGAAAAUAUUGGAAAUUAUAAUAAAACCCGUGGCUAUUUUUGUAAUUUGAUGUUGGACAGUAAACCCUAAUCCUGAGUCUGUUCCUCGCCCCCUCUCUCUAUAUUAAUGUCGACCUCCAACCAUUCUUCAUACGCCGCCCGUUCUUCUAACCAGGUACGCUUCCUUUUUCCUUCUUCCUCUUUUCCAUUUUUAGAUCGAAGUAGAGGCUGUGAUGUGCAUUACCUACCUAUUAUAUGAGAUCGGAGCCUUCUCUCCUCUCUGAUUAAGCAACGAACCAAUGGAUCCUUCUGAGCCUCUUCUUUAUUUUUUUCUUUUCUUUUAUAAGUGUUUUUUAAGUCGCCCUCGAUGUGAUGAUUUCUCUUCUCGGAAUUUUUUUCAUGUCGAUCUUACAAUGAAUCAGACUACAACUAUCUGAUCGACGGCGACAGUCCAGCUUUUGUUUUUUGUUUUUUUUGUUGGUGUUUUUGUUCUUUGACGGAUUGAUGAACUGUGCGCAAUAAGCCGAUGCUCUGGACUGGAGGAGGAAGGAAGCAUGGUAUGGCGCACAGAGAUCAAACGAAAAGGGUCAUCAUGUCUGCUCGCAUUGAUACCUUCGGGAUUUGAUCUCGCGGGCCUGGAUUCGACUCACAUUUCUCUUUCCGUCAUCAAUUUUCUUAAGGACAAGGCUUCCUUUUCCAAUCAAUAUUUUUUAUUACUUUUUUUUGGCUGUUGGAAAUUAUGAGUUAAUUCCAAUUCGAUAUUACCACGAUUGAUGUUUGUUAAUAUGUAUUACUUUACCAUUUUUAUUUGAUGAAGGUAUUUUAUUGUCUUUAUUUUCUAGUAUCACCAAUUUUAUUAGAUUAAAAAGAGGAUAAA